GUAGCUGAGGCAAUUAAGUAAAAAUACAAAAGGCCAUCCAAGUACACAUUUCAAGUCAAACAUUCAUGGUCAUUCACAUCAAGUGCAUACUGCAUAGGCAGUCUAGAGUUUUGAACCAUACAACAGAACUAGUCAUUACAGAGCAUAUCAGGGACGCAUUCUUGUAUAUCAGGAUCAAACGAUAACACGGACACAAUGCCGUUGCCCCAGCAACCUGCUUCUGGUAUUAGUGUAACAGCAUAGAAUGUGAGGCCCGGAGGACGCGCCAAAUCCAUGUAUGCGAUUCAUCUCUUCUUAAAACCAUACUUCUUGCGCUCGUAGAAGAGAUCGGUCUUGGCGCUUCCUAGGUUGACAAUCUUGGGGCACCCAUCUCGAUCGGAGGGUACCUGUAUAUUCAAAUUUGCAUCCCUAAUGGACACAACACUACCAUAAGGACGAUUGGACUGGCCGACGAGCUAAGAGCAUCUCUAGUCGAUCCCGUAUAAUGCUCCAACCCGUAAAAUAAUCGUCAAAACACUUCUGCUUCGGUACACCACCCUUAAACACAUCAAGGACUGAGAUUCACCCAUACCCUUUCGCUGCCAGGGGACGAUCGUCUUAAGUAAAAAAAAUUGCCCCCGCGCGCCCGUCUAUACGCGGCUGCGGGACGAGCCGAGCUGCUUGGCAAUCGUGAGGGCGCGAGCCGAGCCGAGCAGUUGGCAGCCGUGAGGGCGUGUUUUUUUUAAAAAAAAAAGUCCGCGCUGACCGGUGGGGCGUACGUGUGGACGUGGCGCAGACGGACGUACCGUCGUGCAUUAACUGCUUUGCAGUUUUGGCGGCGCGCAUGCAGGCGCCGACUGCACGCGGCAGAUCUCGUGCCGCCCGCGCCCUCCACUGCCGCGCGUGCGGGCGACCGGGCGCCUGCCGCCAGCAUGGUAGCUUCGUAGUCCGCGCCGUUCACUGCCGCGCGUGCGGCGACCGNNNNNNNNNNNNNNNNNNNNNNNNNNNNNNNNNNNNNNNNNNNNNNNNNNNNNNNNNNNNNNNNNNNNNNNNNNNNNNNNNNNNNNNNNNNNNNNNNNNNNNNNNNNNNNNNNNNNNNNNNNNNNNNNNNNNNNNNNNNNNNNNNNNNNNNNNNNNNNNNNNNNNNNNNNNNNNNNNNNNNNNNNNNNNNNNNNNNNNNNNNNNNNNNNNNNNNNNNNNNNNNNNNNNNNNNNNNNNNNNNNNNNNNNNNNNNNNNNNNNNNNNNNNNNNNNNNNNNNNNNNNNNNNNNNNNNNNNNNNNNNNNNNNNNNNNNNNNNNNNNNNNNNNNNNNNNNNNNNNNNNNNNNNNNNNNNNNNNNNNNNNNCGCUGCGGCGAUCGCCCGCACGGCACCGACGCUUCCACUGUCGCGCCUGCCGUCCUCGCGCCUUCCCACGCCACCGAUCCCUCGCCUGCCGCGCCGCGCCUUCACACGCCACCGCUGCUUCGCUUUCACACGCCACCGCGGUCGCGCGUGCCGCCAGCCGCCCGCCUCUCCCUCGGGGCGCACGCCACCGACGGCUCGCCCGCUCACCUCCCUCCCCUGCCGUCUAUAAAAGGCCACGCCAGCCCUCACCACGCCGUGCCAUCUCCCUUCCUCUCCUCGCCCGCCCAUCUCCCUCUCCUCGCCGGCAAUGUCUUCCAGCGACUCCGACAAGGGCGCGUGGUCGACCGGCGUCUGGCCGCUGAGCCUCACCGUCGGCGACACGGAGGAUCUGGCCCGGUUCGGCCUGAUGGUGCCGCCGGCAGCCAAAGUGCCGCGGCCGUGGCGGAUCGGGGGGGACGGCAUCCCCACCAUGGGACCGCCGCCGACGAGGCAGCAGCUCCACGCGUUCCUAGGCGGCCGCUACAACCGGAGGGCCCGGCGCAGGUGGUGGCGCAGGAAGAACUUCGACAUUGUCCUCGGCGCGUUCAGGGAUGCGGCGGCCGGCCGCACCGUCGGGGACAUUACCGGCGAGGCCGGCACUUCCCGUGGUCGCCGCCGGCACGGCCCACCUCCAGCCGCCCCCACCGCCCUAGCACAGCAGGCGCCCCCUGACCCGGCGCUGGUCGAGAUCCCGCCGGCGCAGGCCGCCCUCGCGCAAGACGGAGACCCCGACGACACGCCAGGGCUACUUGCGGUGCUGGCCCAGUCGGCAGAGGAGGCGGCGGCGGCGGCCACUCGUGAGGAACGAGAGCGGCUGGCGGCCAUAGCGGCGGUGCAGGAGCAGCAAGCGCGGGAAGACAACUGGUGGGAUUUCAGCAGCAACGACGACGACGACGACGACGACAGUGACGGCGACGGCGGCGAAGGAGAGGCCGGCAGUAUGGCGCCGGUCGUCGACCUCACCGGCGGCAGCGACGACGAGUAGUCUAGUUUUAGGGUUUUUAUUUAAAUUUCGGUUUAAGUUAUGUAAGAGCAGUGCUCUGUUAUGUUUAGUGUUGUGUAAGGUAGUUUGAAUGAUGAAUGAACUCGGAAUGGCUUAUCUGAAGAAAAAAACGUAUGUUUAAUUUGAUGUUAGUCGUGCAACUUCAAAAAAUAACAUGCAUUUCAACGUUACGAGAAAAAUCAGUGCUCGGUUACGCAUGCAUGGGGCCUUCACUCAUACUCGAAUGGUCUCUGAAAAAUUCUUAAAGCAAUAAAAAAGCCAGAAAACUUUUCAUGCAUCCUAAUGAUGAUGGUGGAACAGUAUAAAAAAAUGUGGGUACAUUUGAAGGCUGUCGGAAAAAACUCCUUUCAGACGGGGCCUUCGGUCCUGCCCAAACGGGGUCUGGAGAAGGAGGCCAACUUGUCGACAUAUUCGGAAAAAUUAUAGAACAUUCAUAAAGCGAUGAAAAAUACAAAAAACCUGGCAUGCAUCCUACUGAUACUGGUAGAACACUAUAAGAAAAAUUUCUAGAAGGACAGAAAACAAUUAUAAGAAAAAUUUAUAGAAGGAAAUAAAAACAAUGGUAAAAAAAUUGCCUACUGUGCUUGCAGGCCACAACUGUGCUUAAUCGGUCCGGCCCGAUCAAGCCGGGCGGCGAAACGGCCGGCCUUUCAGCCCAGCUACGGCCUGCAGCACAGUCAAUCGGGGCAGUGGCGGGACGGGGCAGGAAUCAGAGGAGUUCGAAAGGGAGGUGGGAGGCAGGUAUAUAAGGCGGUCGCGGCGUCGUUCGGCGGGCGAGGUGGGACUAAACUUUAGUCCUCACCCCCGCCGACCCUGCCCCCGCACCGCGCAGAGUCAAUGGGCCGGCCCACGCGUGCCGUCGCGCACUCUCACUGUGCCGGCCAAUGCACGCUGUCGAAGACUUUUUUGUUUUUUGUUUUAAAAAUAAUAUUAAUAAAACUCCAUACGUAAUAUAGAAUUGUUAACUAUAUUUAUUACAAUUUAUAGGUAAAAAUAAUCGGUAUUUUUUUAAUAAUUUAUGAGUUUUGUGUAAAUGCCUAACAUUUUGCAGCUUAUUAAAACUUAUUAAUUAGUUUAUUGAUAUAACUAAUAAUUUGGAAAGGGCAGUUUCAUAAAAAACUGUACUUGACAUAGAAUUAUUUAAGUAGUUAAAUUAAAAACAGUACUUAAUACAUAAUUCAUUAAGUAAUUAUAUUAAAAAGAGUACUUAAUAGGGAAUUUAUUUCGUGUUGAAAAUAUACAUAUGAAAAAUUUACUAUUGUUAUUUCUGCGCGAAUUGACAAGCUUAUAUUAAAAAAUAAGAUAGUAAUAAUGUCAGUUGACUUUAGUUAAAGUCACAUGACAUUAUUACUACCUAUUUCAAUAAAUAUCUGAAAGGCGGCUAUAUAAGCCAGUCCUGGCAUCCCUGGGCGCGCGAGGUUGAACAAAAAAGCGCCCCUUCCACCUCUCCCCGCGCCGUGAAUUGUAGAAUAAAAAAAAUUGAUGCCAAAAAAAAAGCCCACCUGUGCUUGCACGCCGCAACUGCGCUUAAUCGGUCCGGCCCGAUCAAGCCGGGAAGCGAAAGGGCCAGCCUUUCGGCCCAGCUACGGCCUGCAGCACAGACCAACGGGGCAGAGGCGGGGCGGGGCGGGAAUCAGAGGAGUUCGAAACGGUGGUACCAGCUUGGUAUAUAAGCAGGUCGCGGCGUGGUUCGGCGGGCGAGGUGGGACUAAACUUUAGUCCUCACCCCGCCGACCCUGCCCCCGCACCGCGCGCAGAGUCAAUGGGCUAGCCCACGCGCGCCGUCGCGCACUCUCACUGUGCCAUCGCGCACAGUCAAGACUUUUGUUUUGUUUUUUUUAAAUAGUAUUAAGUUUUUUAGUUAUUUAUGCCUGUCUUAUAGUAUACAAAAAUUCUAUAAUUAAUAAAAAACCAUACGUAAUAUAGAAUUGUUAACUAUAUUACUUAUAAUAAUAAUGAGUUGUUUAUUUAAAUUUAUACGAGAAACUAAUGAGUAUUUUAUAAGUAAUUGCUAAAACAAUAAUGAGUUUUUUGAUAAUAAAAUGAUAAUGAGUUUUUUUGUAUAGAAUUUUGAAAUAAGUUAUUUGUGUAGAUUAGUAAUUACAUGUUUAAUAUUUAUGUAAUGUUAAUUAAUGUCUAAAAUAUAUUUAAAAUAUAUGCAAAGUUUAGUACUGUAAUGUGUUGCAUUAACGGCUAAAUGUGUUUACAUAAUAAUAAUGCGUUGUUUUUUUAAUUUAUAAGUAAGAAUAAUGAGUUUUUUGUAAUGUGUUUUCGGUGCGUUUCACGGAGACCAAACGCACGUUGCGUCACGCCCGGUCAGUGUUUUCGGUGCGUUUCACGGAGAAAAUCAUAGGAAAUUCAUAUGGUGUCAGAAAAUUAUGAAAACUUGCAGGCAUGAUGGCCCUGCCGAUGAGUGCGUGUGGAAAAAGUGUGGGGUCCACUGGCUGAGUAAGAAAAGAGAACGCGGUUCGGGGCUAACAUCGUUCAUAUCCGAUCAGUGCCGGUUGCAUGGGAGGUACGAGGUGGCACCCACGAAAGGUCACCCAAAUUUGGGAAGCAGUGGGCAUACCCAUCUUAGGGCCCCACGCAAAAGUUGAACGAAUUCGGACACCAAACGCACGUUGCGUCACGCCCGGUCAGUGUUUUCGGUGCGUUUCACAGAGAAAACCAUAGUUGGGAACCCCUCCCCGGCAGACCGAGAGGUAGGUGGUUGCACUGGGGCUACGUGAUGGCAACGUGUGGAAAAAGUGUCGUGACAUUUGACGGAGUAGAAAAAAAACCGUAGUUGGGAACCAUAUUUAAAAAAAUUUGUUUUCCGUUUGAAGUUAAAAAAAUAAACAAAAUGACAAAAUAAACAUAUUUCAUACUGUAAUGUGACUUUACCCACUGCCGGGCAGUUCACUUCCAGACAGUGUACUGCCAGGCAGUUAAGUAAAGCCAUAUCACAAUAUAAGAUAUGACCAUGCAUGGACUACCGGAGGCGGCUAUAUAAACUGGUGUGGACAUCCUUCGGCCGCCGAGGUUGGACUAAAUUAGAAUGGCUGCCGCACGCCAAGGAGUGACAGAAGCGACGCGGGCCCGACCGAAUCUAUGACCUGGACUGCGUGCACUGGCCGGCACAGCUAGAGUGCGCGAAGGCGCGCGUGGGCCGGCCCAUUGACUCUGCGUGCGGUGCGGGGGCAGGGUCGGCGGUGGUGAGGACUAAAGUUUAGUCCCACCUCGCCCGCCGAACGACGCCGCGACUGCCUUAUAUACCUGCCUCCCACUACCAUUUCGAACUCCUCUGAUUCCUGCCCCGCCCUGUCUCUGCCCCGUUGGUCUGUGCUGCAGGCCGUAGCUGGGCCGAAAGGCCGGCCCUUUUGCCGCCCGGCUUGAUCAGGCCGGACCGAUUACGUGUAGCUGCGGCCUGCAACCACGGUUGGGCUUUUUUUUCUUGCAUCACUAUUUUUUUGCCUUCUAUGAGUCACGGCACGGGGGGAGGUCGGAGGGGCGCAUCACUAUUUUUUUGCAUCAGUAUUUUUUUCAUCACUUUAUGGAAAAAAAUAGUAAGUUCUUUAUAAUUAGUUACUAUAACAAUACUAAGUUUGGGGUCCAUCGGGUAACGUUAAAAUGGUUGCAUUAAAAAAUUGCAUUAAUAAUUUCUGACAUUAAAAAAACAUCGAGGAUAAUGGCUUUCUUUUUGAAGAAUAUGCAUGAUCCAUGUGAACCUUCACAAGCUCUCAGCAGAUGAAGACUCACAUCGAUCCUGCAUAUCCACCAAAUAGAGUCCCACAAACCGAGAUGUUUGUGCAUUGACCGAAAGAAAAUUAUAUAAGGAAGUCAACGACGCUCUGGCUUAGCGAUGUGGUAUUAAACUACAAUGCAUGUUUGUAAUAAAUGCAUCGUGGGCCAGCCGACGGUGGUUUUACGGGACGGGCCAACUGGCCCACUAUGGCGUGACCACGUCGAUGACACCGUACGUGCGUGCAUGGCAUGGAAACCAAGCCGCCAUUACCUCGCCCCAGGACCGCCUAGCCCCGCCGCCUCCACGCACGUCCUCACCCGUCCCCGAUCCGACGGUCGCACCGCUGUGGCCGUCCAAACUCCCUUCCCUGCCGGCCUGACGGCGGCCAUACAAUCCGUCAUCUGCGCGCGCGACUUGGAUCUCUGGCCCGGCCGUGCCGUCUGGGCAAAUUCGCCGGCACCCUAAACCCUAGGAAGGGCAGUCGGCCAUCGCGCUCGUGUGGGCAGAGGGUGCACGGCUGCCAUGACUAACCGACCCCGGGUGGGGUUUGGCAACGAGGGCUGCCGGUGCUCAUCGAGACGCCGGAAGGUAUGGUAUCUCAUUAAACUAUAGGUAAUCUUUUUUCAAUCUCGUAACUAGUUAGAUAACUGGCAUCUUAUUUAGAAUGCAAGAAUUGGGAGAUGUGUACUGCUCGGUUGAGAAGUGGUGCGAAUUGGUGGGAAAAUUCACACCCAGACAGCGCAUGAUGUUACGUGGCACAAAUUUGGACUGUAUGCUGAGAAUUCCUUCCGUGAAAAUGAGGAAAAAUUUAUUGGAAUUUAUGAUUACAACGUAUGACAGAACUGGAAAGCGAUUUAUUAUUCGGCCAAAUACUGAUGGCAUCAGUGUGCUUAAUGAAGAUGUUUACGACAUAUUCGGGCUACGUAACGAGGGUGAUGAUGUCAGUAGCAUGAUAGCAACAGUACAACUAGAUGCAAAAAAAUGUGUUCCGAAUCAGUUUCUAGACAAAAGAACAGGCCUAAUCCUCAUCGUUGAGUUGAUAAAAAAUAUUGUUGAUACUCAGUCAUAUGAUGAUGAUUUUGUUAGAAGGGCCGUACUGGUUCUUAUGGGUACAGUCUUAGCACCACAAUCCAUCAAGUUUGUUCCUUAUCGUUAUUACAAAAUGGUGGAGGACGUGAAUGCUAUCAAGUCAUACAAUUGGAACGAUUUCACGUUGCGGGUGUGCAUGGAUGCUAUUAAAAAAUCGGUCUAAGAUCUUGAAAAAUUCAAGUGUCCUAUCGGGAACUUGGCUCUUCUUCAGGUACAAUUCAUUUCGUAAUAGUUGUAUGUACUCCCUCCGUUUCUUUUUAGUCUGCAUAUAAGGUUUGGUCAAAGUCAAGCUUUACAUAGUUUGACUAACCUUAUAUUAAAAAAUAUCAACAUUCGCAAUAUGAAAUCAACAUUUUCAAAUGCAACAUGAAAUGUAUUUACAUAUUAUAUAGUUUAAGUAUUGUAGGUGUUCAUAUUUUUUAAUAUAAAUUUGGUCAAAAUUUGUGUAGUUUGACUUUGACCAAAACUUAUACGCGGAGUAAAAAGGAACGGAGGGAGUACAUAUAAUUUUUAUGUGAUUUAUGUGUCUGACUAGUUGUGUUUACUAUCAUACAGUAUAUAUACUGGGAAAAAGUUGAGCCAAUUGGUGUGGAUACAUUUGAUCCUUUGUCUAGUGAAUACCCACUAAUGGUUAACUGGCAAGAAACGGAAGGGAAAAAGAGAGACCACUAUGACAACAUGCACGGGCGUGGCACCAGCAAUGUAAGUCAAUAAGUAUAGUUCUUAUUGGUUGCACAUAGUAAUUAACUGUAGUUGUUAUAUAAUUUAUUUAUUUUUAUGUUGUAUAGCUUGAAAACUGCGUUAGCGAAGAGUACAGACGUGCUAAGGUAGCACGUGAAGGGACUGUCACAGAUGAAGAAACGAAGAAACCUAAACGGAAAGGUGGUGGCAGGAGUAGAAAGCCAAGCACGCCAGGGGUUUCAUCGAACAUGACUAACAGUAUGGACCGUGUGAUGACAUACAUUAAGCUGCUUCACAAGGAGGUUCUCAAUAUACCCGAAAGAUGUGCACAGGUAAUUUAGAAGUUAUACUAAACAUGUUUUAGUUCUUCAAGUACUUAUCGUGUUUCAUUUGUGUUUGUAGAUGGUAAUGGAAAAGUUGAACACGGAAGGUGUGCUGUACAAACCCAAUAAGAGGGACACCAAUGACGAAUUUGAUAAUGUAGGUGAAGGAGUUGGGAUGGAGAAUGGCCAGUACAAGUCAUCAAAAUAUUGGCCAGAUAUUGAUUCACCUACCGACGUGGAGCUAGUAACAUCUUUCAUGGGUUUCAAUGAUACCUACGUGCCCGUUGAUGACACGGGUGCUCCGGCGACGACACCGGGUAGAGGUGACGCUACUGAUCCUUUCAUUAUAGACGAUAAUGCAAAGUCUCCUUGUUCGUCAUCAACUGUAUGUACAAAAGAGUUUCCGUCCAUGUCCUGAACCCCGCAGAAUGCCGAUAUUUCUGGUGAGUCUAUGGGUGGUUUGUCACCAACAAAGUCUGAAGACAAGUAUGAGAGUCUCCCGGCAAAGAGCAACAUAGGUAAUGGUGAAGGCAGUCAGGACAAUGAAGGUAAACGCAAACGAAAUCCGUCGAAAUAUUGUCAAUCCCCGUACGACCUUCUCAUUACCCGCAAGAAACAUGUUAAAAAAGGUAAGUCAAGUACUACUUUAUAAUUCAUUCACGCGUUAUGUAUAUUUUUUAUUAUUUUUAAUGACUGUACCUGCAUUGAUUUAGAUCUGUUUGCAUCGUCACCUCAUUCAAUUCUGGCUAGUUCCCUUAAUAUGACUCCGGAUCACAUAGAGGCAGCCAGAGUUUUUGUUGAGACUCUCGCAUCGACAAAGAAGCAUGCACACCGAACCGUGGUCGAUAUGCCGCCACCAGAUGGGGACAUAUGCACGCUAGCUAUGCUUCACGAUCCUGACGUUUAAAUGGUUGAAUGGCGCUGUAAGUAUGAGUUUGGUUUUAACAAAACUCUUAUUUGUACUUCACAAGUUGAUAGAAUUUUUUUGUUUAUGUAUGCAGAUAAUCAAUACAUAUUGUAAACACCUACAACACCGUGAUUUCUCUGACCGUUUCAUAUAAACAACGUGGUUCCCCAAAUUUAUGUUGGGUAGGGCUAGGGGAAAGACCAAGUCAAUUAAUGAUUUGGAUUCAGAACAAGUUACAAAGAAAUCAAAAGUCCUCGCAAGAGUAAUGGAUGAGUAUUUCAGACGGGACAAGGUAUUCCUUUCAUAUUUAUUUGUUUUUGUUAGUCAUUACUAUUUAAUUGCACUAACAUCAUUUUAUUAUUAUAUAGGCGUAUUUUCCUAUGCACGUUAAUGAUAAUCAUUGGAUAACCAUAGUGAUGCACACCGUCAAGGAUGAGUUUCAAGUUCUUGACUCAAAUUCGAAAGGCGCAAUUAGCCAAAGAAUUCGCAAUAUGAUUGCCACCCUGGUACGCCAUAAUUUUCACACUCGCAUUCAAAAAAUUAUUGAGUCAUACAUUAAUUUCUGGUUUGUUAAUUUGUUUCAGAGAGCUGAAAUUUCUAAGGAUAUUAUGGAGGCCAACUCUAUUCUUGAAUUAAAAAAAAUCCAGAUGUCUCAUCGUGGCCAAUUAAUGAGUAUAAAAUGCCGAGACAACAUGAUGGGUAAGUUAAAUGAGUACAAGAAAGUGCAUGCUAUAUCCUAAACUGAUCACACAUGUUUAUUGCAGAGUGUCUUGUGGACUUUUUGUGAUGUGGUGCAUAAAAUACUGGGACGGAGAUCGUUGGACACAUGAAUUUGACCAGCAAGAGAUUAAUGAGUCAAGGCCACGUAUUGUCGCGGAAAUCAUUUUUUCUGAGGUCAACAGAUUAGACAAAGUGAAGAUGAAAAUUGUUAAAAUCAUGGAGAAGGAGUAGGUAUUAGCAUCGGUAGGGUUUUAGUCCCGUAGAAGGUUUCCCUACCGUUGUUGGAUACUUUGAUCGAUUGUAAUGCGACAUGGCACUGGGAUAGAUUUCGACAACUUUUCACGUUUUAUUUAUUGCUUUCGUGAGAAACUACACAUUUAAAUGCGUGUGGGCAAGUAAUAUUUUUUCUGUCCUAAAAUGUAUCAGUUUGCCUCUGCGAUAUUACAUGUACUGUUGUUGUUGUUCCUACUCGCGGCGGUCAUUUUUUUAUUAAAAAAUAUGCCCGCCGUCCUGAGUUGGUGCGAUGUGGAUAAAACCUGCACAAUUUCCCACGUUGAUUCUGGUGGCAGCAGCGGCGCUGGAUCCGACGAAUAUUCCAGCCCGUGCGGUGGCCGACAGCCGAGGCAGUGGCGGGCCCACGAAGUUGAGCUAGUGCGGGCUGGCGCCAUUCGCCGUGCGGCACGCGCGGGUCUGCUGGCCCAGCAGCCGGCCGAACGACAGCCGCGCGCCCGGUGGCACACAUCACGUCCCGCCCCAGCCAGCGGGCACAUGCAACGAUCCCGAGGGUGAUCUGUCGGCCAUAAACGACGCGCGUCGGGCGCGUGGGCCGAUCCUCUUCGUGUGCGGUGCCCUACUGUGCGCCGUGGCCUCCCCGCUCGGCGGCCGAAAGGCCUCGCCAGAAGGCGUUGUAGUUUACUGUACGUGUGCGCGCCCGGCCAAAGCUGGGGCUUUUUUAAAAAAAAAUUGUCACAUACAUUAAAUUUCAAAAGAGUUCAUAACUUGACUAAGUCAUGACAGCAGUAACACAUUCAUACAAAUAUAAUAUGUUUCACACAUAAUAAUAUAAAUCGCAUGUCUUCAUAUGAAUCGCAUGUCUUAUAAAAUUGAAUAAGGUGGCAUAAACAUUAACUCAAAGUGCCAUGUCUAUUAUUCUUAAACAAAUAAACUGAAAGUGCUAACGACUUUCAUCGAACAAGGUGGUUUAAACAAUAAACCCAAAGUGCCAUGUAUCUUAUUCUUAAACAAAUAAAAUGAAAUUGCCAGUGCCUUCAAUUGAUUAUGAAUACUUCAUCCUUAUGCCCGGUUCCUACAUAACAAAGUGUAAACAACUCAUCAGACAAUUGUGAAGAGAGAACCAAAAAAUAAUUAAAAUAAUGAAAAACUUACUUUUCAUUCUCAGGGCAAGUUUGCCGUCUAUGGCCCUCUGUCUUACAAAUGCCACAAAGAGGACCGGGUUUUUUCUCAGAAAAUGAUUUUGGUCUUCCAUUUUUUGUAACAUUUGGAUCUUUCUUUGCCCGCCCUGUCCUGCUCUGUUUAGGGGCGCCCUUCGUGGAAACUUUCACGGGAUCACCUAUGACAUCAACAUGUUGUUCCGGCUGACGUGGCUCCUCAUGCACAUUUAUUCUACUACCAACAGCAUCAUCAUCAGGGACCUUUUUUUCGCUAUUAUAUUCUGCAGACACUGCAUCAACUCAUCAUAGACGAAUGGAUCAUUUGAAGCAACAUGAAAAGCUUCAGCUCCUGUUAUACUGAGUUGACUAUAGCGAGCACGCUGCUCUGCCCCUGUCCAACCCCAGCCAAACAAGACACUCUUUCGCUGUGCAGGCAGCCCACCUCUCGUAACUUUCGACAUCCUCUUAAGGAUGCAACACUUCGGUAUUUUAGAUAUUUUGAGAUGAACCAACACAUACAGAAUGUGUUUGCAAGGCAAUCCUUUCCGAAGCAUUCGUCCACAACUGCAGUCUAUCGUAUUCUCAGAGUUUUCAGCUUGAUAAUUCACGCUGAACUGAAAUUUCCGGUUAUUUCUCCAUGUCACGAUGAAAGUGUGGCAGUCAACUCCCACUAGCGUCUCAAAAAUCUCAAGCUCUCCCAUCUUCUUCAGAUCUUGUUGAAGAAUAUAAAAAUUGGAAUGAGUGAAUACUUCGGCGGCAUGCUUCUCAAUAUCCUUAUAUUCUGUGACUGAUGGUGGCAAUGACUGAUUUAAAACACAGUCAUCAUGCGCCUCGUUCUCACGUAGUCGGACUAUGCAAUUCUCAUAAUGCACAACUAGGUCAACGAUAGUCAUACCGCCGUCCAAGUGCAGGACAAGAGUUAAGACUUUCACUCCUCUGAUUACUGCGCAUACCCAGAAAAAAACCAUCUGACAGAUAUGAUGCUGCCCACAGACUCCUUUUCCUGUACAUCCUACUCAGCCACUCUUCUGUUUUAUCAGUCUUCCAUUUACGGACGAAAGCGUGCCAUCUCGCCUCAAAGUUGGCUGGAGAGGUGGAGUAGUACAAGAGUGCCCUGAACUCACUUAGCGAUUUGUAAUUAAGGUGCUUUUGCAUGUUUUUUUCCACGUGCCAUGAGCAGAGAUGGUGCAACACAUCAACCAAAACCAACCGAAUAGCUCGUAUCAUUGCAGCGUCCCCAUCUGUGAUGAUUGACCUUGGCUUUUUCUGACAAUUGGCCUUCAGGAAUGUCUAGAGCAGCCACACGUACGUCGUUUCGGUCUCGUCGGACACAAUGGCGCAACCAAAAACUAUGGUGCAACGGUGAUUGUUUACACCAACAAAGGGGAUGAACGGCAUACCAUAUCUGUUCAUCUUAUACGUGCUGUCGAACAUCAUCACAUCUCCAUACAAUUGAUAGUCCCGUCGCGACUGUGCAUCGCACCAGAACAUGCUCUUCAAACGGCCCUCCUUAUCUUGCACGUACUCAAAGAAAAACUCUGGAUCCUUCUCCUUUCUGCUCCUCAUAAUCCCGAUUGCCGUGUUAGCAUCACCCUUCGCAAUCAACUUCAUUUUUUCACGGCAACAUAGGUUGUACACGUCUCGUCUCAGAAACCCACACUUAUCAUACGAGCCAUACCUGCUAAUGAAGUUGUCAAUGAUGAUAUGCUUUCUGAUCCCAGCUCCUUCCAUCGCCAAGAUCUCAGCUAUCUGGUGAUCUCCCAUCACUCGAUGUGACCGCAAAAAUACCACCUCAUCUGGUCUAGCCAACAAAUGGUUGUGAUCAUCCAUAAAAGCUGCCACGAACCAAACUCCACGUCCUUUGUCCAACUUCACGACUAAAUGUGCGCCACACUCACAACGAGUCUCUGGUCUUAGCCUGCGGGUACGGCCCUCCGGGUUUAAAAAUUUACUGAGACGUUUUCCUGCCCUCGAGCAAACGUAUCUCCUAUACCGAACAGUGGUUGAAAGUCCUUUUCCUCGUUUCACCUUAUCUUUUCUGAUACUGAAUCCACGGUCUUUGGCGUAGUUAUUAUAGAACAUGUGAGCCUCCCAUUGUGAUGCAAAUGUCAUACCCAUAACCUUCAACUGUGUCUCCAGCGCACGUUGCUGGAUUUCAGCUUCCUCAAUGUCCAUAUUAGCUCCAUCCUCAUGAUCAUAUCCAUCUUCACCACUCCAACCAUCAAAGUUAGCCUACAAUAUUCCACAUAAGCAAGUGUAAGUUGUCAUUACCAACUUUUUAUUAUUCAAUGACAUCUUAAAUUUUGGACCGAACCUGGCUUAUGUUAUCCCCGAAAGAUUCAACACCAUGAUUUUCUUCGUUCUGAACGUCAAUAUCCUCCUGCACAUAAAAAAAUCAUAUGCACGUGUAAGUACCAUGUGGUUCUUCAUCCGACGAAAAGAAUGUACACGACACUUACGUUUUCACUACAAGCACCCUCCUCCUUCUUUUCAAAAUCCUCCUCAGAUAAAUUAUCGUACGACGACCAGGAUUCAUUGUCGCUGCCAUCAUCAUCAUCUUUACUAUCAUUACCAUUCGUACGAUCAACACUAUCGCUACCAUCCCACUCACUCGUGUCCAAAAACAGAUCCGUAAAUCCAGUUUCUUUAUCCAUUAAAUGAUCUCUCAACCAACACUGCAAUAUUAUAAUAAAAAUUGAUCUAUCAAUUUUAAAUCAAAUUAAAUGUACUACGAUCAUACAGAUGAGAAAUUCUUAUCUAACAAGUGAUUGCACAUAAUUAUUUACCGAUUCAAUUUUUUUGACAAACUAGAAGGCUUAGAUGGCAUGCACGUGCACUUCGGCCGGCCUAGCGUGGCUGCGGACGGCGAGGACGUUCCCGGAGAGGUUGAUCACGGAUUUGCGGGCGUCGACGGCGUCACGGAGGAGACAUCACGUACGGCGGGUGACUCCAAGAUCUGUCCGCGCCGGCCAGAUCCCGGGUGAAGACGGGGAGAAGGCGGCAAUCGGCCAAACGGGACGACGUUGGAAUUGGCAGCGUGAUCACGGCUAGAUCGGCGGGGAAAGGCGGCUGUCGGCGGGUAAGGGCGGCGAUCGGCGGGGCGGGGCGACGUUGGAAUGGGCCGCGUGAUCAGCGCAGGUCGUGGGUUUUUUUUCGCGCGACGGAGAGAGGGUAGUUGCGAGCCGGCCGUAUCGGCUCGAGCCGUGCGCUCGGCUCUACCUGUAUGGGCAUGCCGCAUACGGCGCGGGAUACGUUAAGCGCCNNNNNNNNNNNNNNNNNNNNNNNNNNNNNNNNNNNNNNNNNNNNNNNNNNNNNNNNNNNNNNNNNNNNNNNNNNNNNNNNNNNNNNNNNNNNNNNNNNNNNNNNNNNNNNNNNNNNNNNNNNNNNNNNNNNNNNNNNNNNNNNNNNNNNNNNNNNNNNNNNNNNNNNNNNNNNNNNNNNNNNNNNNNNNNNNNNNNNNNNNNNNNNNNNNNNNNNNNNNNNNNNNNNNNNNNNNNNNNNNNNNNNNNNNNNNNNNNNNNNNNNNNNNNNNNNNNNNNNNNNNNNNNNNNNNNNNNNNNNNNNNNNNNNNNNNNNNNNNNNNNNNNNNNNNNNNNNNNNNNNNNNNNNNNNNNNNNNNNNNNNNNNNNNNNNNNNNNNNNNNNNNNNNNNNNNNNNNNNNNNNNNNNNNNNNNNNNNNNNNNNNNNNNNNNNNNNNNNNNNNNNNNNNNNNNNNNNNNNNNNNNNNNNNNNNNNNNNNNNNNNNNNNNNNNNNNNNNNNNNNNNNNNNNNNNNNNNNNNNNNNNNNNNNNNNNNNNNNNNNNNNNNNNNNNNNNNNNNNNNNNNNNNNNNNNNNNNNNNNNNNNNNNNNNNNNNNNNNNNNNNNNNNNNNNNNNNNNNNNNNNNNNNNNNNNNNNNNNNNNNNNNNNNNNNNNNNNNNNNNNNNNNNNNNNNNNNNNNNNNNNNNNNNNNNNNNNNNNNNNNNNNNNNNNNNNNNNNNNNNNNNNNNNNNNNNNNNNNNNNNNNNNNNNNNNNNNNNNNNNNNNNNNNNNNNNNNNNNNNNNNNNNNNNNNNNNNNNNNNNNNNNNACAAGUGGACUUUAUUCAACCGAAAUAACAGAUACAUCGUUUGUGAGGAAUGGUACAAUCUCAAUCAUAGGCUCCUCAAAUCAAUCAAUGGUAGAAGAAAAUCUAGCCAACCUAGCAAGCUCGUGCGUAACCUUAUUGGCUUUCCUAUUACAAUGUUCAAACCUAGAGGUAGAAAAAUCACACGUCAAAAAAUAGCAAUCAUCAAAAAUUGCCGCCGGCGCUCCCGCUGACCGUCCGCCAUUAUUCAUCGUUUCAAUAACCUCCAAAUUAUCAGAACUAAUAGUUAGGCGAUUGCAACCCGCACGUUGCGCUAGUGAAAGACCGAAUCUGAGAGCCCAAGCUUCCGCUGUUAGAGCAUCGAUGCAAUGAUCAAUUUUCCAAGUACCCUGCAAUAAAGUGGGUCCCACGCCUGUUUACAGGUUAAUUUACUGUUUCUAUUAUGCCGCGCCUGUUUUCUGCCCUUAUGACAUGCCGCGAACUAUAAACGCAAUUUUAAAGUCCGCGAUAUAAGGGGUCUGCUAGAGAUGCUCUAACACGGAGAGGCAAGCCCCAAGAAAAACAAGCCCGUGCGGUCGGUAGUUCCCUGUUUACGUGUUGCUGUGCUGAUGUUUAGUACCACAUCGGUAUUCCAGGUCGAUACACCGUGGAAUAAAACGUGAAGCCCGGGUGCUGGCAUACACCGUGCGGCAAGCACGGUUACUGCACGAAACCAAUAUACUGUGAUUACCGAUGGCCAGCGCCAACAAUGCGACUGUCAUUGCAGGGGCGCCUUUUGCUUUUCAAAGCCAAAUAAGACUCUUAUACCUCUUAUAUGUAUUAUCCUCCAGCCCACCGCUUGAAUCCCUACUUCCAGCUGACUCUCUAUCAUAAGUUACAUCUCCACACUCUUAAAAAUAUUCAUAAUUUCUUUCUUAUUUUCAUUUUCAUCUUUUUUAUGGAAGUCAUGAACAUUUUCUUAAAAUUAUGAACUUUUCAAGAAGUCAUUUUUUCCAAAUUUGUUUUUUGUUUAUUUUUAAAAAUGGUGAUCCUUUUCCAAAUUCAUGGAGUAAUUACAAUUUCACAACAUUUUUUGUAUUCACUAACUUUUUUGAAUUCGUGAUUUUUUUUUCAAAUUUGCUAAUUCCUUUCAAAUAUGCUCUAGCAGAAGUGCACUAGACGCAAAAUUGAAGCCCCAUACUAGUUAGGUAGGGCGCUGUAGCACGUGCUAGGUUGGGCGCUGUAGCAUGUGUGCAGGGGUGGCGAGACUGGAGCUUCCUCUUUACCUGUUCGUUCCGGCCGGCUACAUCGAUUUGCUUUUGCAAUGACCAGCGUAGUGUCUGGCUUCAGGUAGAAAGGAAGAGAAAAAGAACACGACCGGCCAGCUAGUGUACUGUGCUGCCGUGCGCGUACAUAUUUUAGACGCGAAAAGAAUAAUUUUUUCAAACAAACAAACAAACAAUGGUUUGUCUAAUUCACAUCUAAAUAUUUUUUAAGGAUGUCACAUCUAAGCUUGCAUAAAUAUAUAAUGCAGCAACAAGAGCAAAAAAAUAUUAGGGAAAAAAAUAGACCACAAACAAAGUGAACAUCAGGUUAGAUGUGACAUAACUAUGUCACAUCUAGAUAUGUACUACACAGACCCAACAAACAAACAAGCAAGGACAAACAAAGGGACCAUAAACAGUUGCUUAUAUCAUCUUAGAUGUGACAUAGUUAUGUCACAUCUAGAUGAAUCCUAGACACACCCAAAAAAGAAACCCUUGAGAAUGUCUGACUAACUGAAAUUCUAUGACGCGGGUAGAAGCAAGCAACCGGAGACAUCCCGGCCGUCGAUGCAUAUUGUUGAAGACCCGGAUAACAGAGCUAAGAGCAACUCUACCAGACCCCGCAUCUGUCCCGACACGGAAAAUAACCGUCAAAAUGCGGGUAGGGGCGGAAAAAUCUGCCCGAUCAGACCCCGCAUAUCGCCCCGGCCCGCAAAAAUUUUUAGGUGGCGCGGCAAAAUCUCGGCCCCAACACGCGAAUACGCGGGUUUCCCCGUCACGGCUGCGGUGCCCUGCAUCACAGAGAAGUAGUUGGCGGGAGGGACAUUUCAGCCCGCGCGCAUUUUUCCGACCCCCUUCCGCCGCUGACCGCCCUUGCUUCCGCCCGCCCGCCGCCGGCGAUUCCGCCAAAUCUGCGGGCAGAAAAACGCCGCGGGGCCGCCCACCAUCCUCCCGCGCCGUCACGCUGCACCGACCCCCCGGAUCCAGCGAGAAGAGCGCCGUCAUUGCCGGGGAUCGACCACCAUCGAGCCCGCCCCUCGUCGCCGCCCGAGAUCGCCCGCCGCAUCCUCCACCGGUUAGUGCGUAUUUUGUGAUCUUUGCGAGCGAGCGGUAUAAUUCAUUGACGCGCCGGUAUGCAUGUAGAUGGAUUUGAGCCCGUGACAGAAGUUCUUGCUCACCUAUUCGUUCGAUUCGGACGACUCGGAUGUUGAGACCAUGCUUGCCAACUUUCGGCAGCAGACAUUAGUCAUGGUACUUGCCGUGAAGGAGCACGAAGACGAGAACUGAAAGAGAAGGCGAGGAUCGACCGUCAAGCGUCUUUGCAUUCCUCGAAAUCGUCAUCUUAGGAACGAGAUGUUGAUGCAAGACUACUUCACGGAAAAUCCUACAUAUCCACCACACCUCUUCUGGAGAAGGUACCGAAUGCGCCGAUCUCUUUUUGUGAAAAUUGUUCAAGCUUGUGAGGCAAAUUGCCAGUAUUUUACUCAAAGAAGAAAUGUUGCGGGCUUAAAGGGAUUUAGUGCAUAUCAAAAAAUCUCCGCAGCUAUGCGGAUGAUUGCAUAUGGCGUUCCGGCUGACUAUGUCGAUGAGUACUGAUGACCCACAAGUUUAGGGGAUCUAUCGUAGUCCUUUCGAUAAUUAAGAGUAUCGAACCCAACGAGGAGCAGAAGGAAAUGAUAAGCGGUUUUCAGUAAGGUUUUCUCUGCAAGCACUGAAAUUGUAGGUAAUAGAUAGUUUUGUGAUAAGAUAAAUAGUAACGAGUAACAAGUAAAUAAAGUAAAUAAAGUGCAGCAAGGUGGCCCAAUCCUUUAUGUAGCAAAGGAUAAGCCUGUACAAUUUCUAAUAAUGAGAAAGGAGCUCCCGAGGACACAUGAGAAUUAUCGUCAAGCUAGUUUUCAUCACAUUUAUAUGAUUCGCGUUCGGUACUUUGAUAAUUUGAUAUGUGGGUGGACCGGUGCUUGGGUACUUCCCUUAUUUGGACAAGCAUCCCACUUAUGAUUAACCCCUAUUGCAAGCGUCCGCAACUACAAAAGAAGUAUUAAGGUAAACCUAACCACAACAUUAAACAUAUGGAUCCAUGUCAGUCCCUAACAAAGCAACACAUAAACUAGGGUUUAACCUUCUGUCACUCUAGCAACCCAUCAUCUACUUAUUACUUCCCCAUGCCUUCCUCUAGGCCCAAAUAAUGGUGAAGUGUCAUGUAGUCGACGUUCACAUAACACCACUAGAGGAAAAGACAACAUACAUCUCAUCAAAAUAUCGAACGAAUACCAAAUUCACAUGACUACUAAUAGCAAGACUUCACCCAUGUCCUCAGGAACAAACGUAACUACUCACAAAGUAUAUUCAUGUUCAUAAUCAGAGGAGUAAUAAUAUGCAUAAAGGAUCUGACAUAUGAUUUUACACCAAGUAAACCAAUUAACAUCAACUACAAGGAGUAAUCAACACUACUAGCAACCCACAGGUACCAAUUUGUGGUUUUGAUACAAGAUUAGAUACAAGAGAUGAACUAGGGUUUUGAGAGAGAUGGUGCUGGUGAACAUAUUGAAGGAGAUUGACCCCCUCCUGAUGAGAGGAUCGUUGGUGAUGACGUUGGUGGUGAUUUCCCCCUCCCGGAGGGAAGUGUACCCGGCAGAACAGCUCCGCCGGAGCCCUAGAUUGAUUCCAUCAAGGUUCCACCUCGUAGCGGCGGAGUUUCUUCCCGUAAGCUUGCCCACGAUUUUUUCCAUGGUAAAAGCUCUAAUAUAGCAGAAGAUGGACACCGGGGGCCCAUCAGGAGGCCCAGGAGAUAGGGGGCGUGCCCUCCACUCUCCUGGGCAGGGUAUGGGGCCCCUGGUGUAUUUCUUUCGCUCAAUAGUUUUUAUAAAUUCCAAAAACAUGUUUCGUGGAGUUUUAGGAUUUUUGGAGCAGUGCAGAAUAGGUUUUCAAUGUUUGCUCCUUUUCCAGACAGAAUUCCAGCUGCCGGUAUUCCCCCUCUUCAUGGUAAACCUUGUAAAAUAAGAGAGAAUAGCCAUAAGUAUUGAGAUAUAAUGUGUAAUAACAGCUGAUAAUGCAAUAAAUAUUGAUAUAAAAGCAUGAUGCAAAAUGGACGUAUCAACUCCCCCAAGCUUAGACCUCGCUUGUCCUCAAGCGGAAGCCAAUAUCGAAAAAUAUGUCCACAUGUUUAGAGAUAGAGGUGUCGAUAAAAAUAAAAUACGGAGAUGAGGGCAUCAUGAUCAUUCUUAUAACAACAACAUAUAUAGAUUUUAUCAUAUGAUUUCUUAUGCUCAAGUAACAAUCGAUUCACAAUGUCAAGUAUGGUUCAAAAACUUCAUUGGGAACUAAUAAACUAUAAUCUCAGUCAUUGAAGCAAUUGCAAUUUAUCAUAACAUUAGAAAGAGUCAACAAUAGAGAUUUUCAGCAAGUUCACAUACUCAACUAUCUUGUAGCCUUCUACAAUUGCUAACAUUCACGCAAUACUUGUGGUUAUGGAGUUUCAGCCGGACACUGAGAAAGAUAGGGGCUUAUUGUGUUGCCUCCCAACGUAUUCACUUUUAGGUGAUGUCAACAAUAAUAGCCCAUGCUAACUUACAUCCAAUUGGAUAUAUAUAUCAUGAUCUUUCAAACACGAGGAGCUUGCCAAAGGAUAAAAUGAAAAAGGGAAAGGUGAGAAUCACCUUGACUCAAGCAUAAAGUAAAAACAUAAAGUAAAAGAUAGGCUCUUCGCAGAGGGAAGCAGAGGUUGUCAUGUGCGUUUAGGGUUGAUGCACAAAAUCUUAAUGCAAAAGAACGUCACUUUAUAUUUCCCCUUGUAUGUGGACCUUUAUUAUGCAGUCCGACGCUUUUAUUACUUUCACAAAAAGAUCGUACAAAUCUUAUUUUCUCUGCACUAAUAAGUCAUACAUAUUUAGAUAGCAUUUUUUAUUGCUUGCAACAUGACAACUUACUUGAAGGAUCUUACUCAAUCCAUAGGUAGAUAUGGUGGACUCUCAUGGCAAAACUGGGUUUAAGGAUAUUUGGAAGCACAAGUAGUAUCUCUACUUGGUGCAAGGAAUUUGUCUAGCAUGAGGAGGAAAGGCAAGCUCAACAUGUUUGGAUGGUCAAUGACAAUAUACUUUAACUGAGAUGUCGGAAAACAUAAACCAUUACGCUGUCUUCCUUGUCCAACGUCGACUCUUUUAGCAUGUCAUACUUAAUGAGUGCUCCCAAUUAUAAAAGGUGUCCAAGAUAAUAUAUUUGUAUGUGAACCCCUCUUUCCUUAUCACUUCCUAUUAAUUGCAACGAUGACCAAAACUACGUUCAUCAACUCUCAACAAUUUUUAUGCCUCAUACUUUCUAUGUGUGAAGUCAUCACUAUUCAUAAGAUCAAUGUGAACCCUUUUAUUCUUUCUACUUUCUAAAGAUCAUAGCAACAUAGCAAAGCCCUUGACUCAACACUAAUCUUUAUUAUAGAUGACUCACGGACUCGAUUACAAAAAGAGAUCACAAUGCAAAAACUCAAAACUACUUGUUAUCAAAACUUCAAUCUACUAGAUCAAGAUACUACUAAAAGGAUCGAACUAAAUAAAACGGUAAAGAUAGGAGUGUGAUGGUGAUACGAUACCGGGGCACCUCCCCCAAGCUUGGCAGUUGCCAAGGGGAAUGCCCAUACCCAUGUGAUUAUGUCCUCGGAGGUGGUGAAGUAGGAGUUGUUGAUGAUGUAGGCUUGUCGUCCGUCUUCCAAGGCAUAGGCUCUCCAUCAUAGAAAGAUGAUCGAGUCUCCGGGAUCCUUAAAUCUGCAGCCAAACUCAUCCCCUUGAAUCUAUAUUCAUACUCACAGUUCUGGUUUUGCAGGUCAUAUAUCUGGGCUUGGAGGUGCUCGAUUUUCUCUUGAAUCUUGAAGAUGGUCUCUCCAAUGACCUUGGCAUCUAACUUGUGGUUGUUGGUGAACUCCGUGAUCAUCAUCUGGUUGGCGUUGAGUCCACGCUCCACCAUCCCUUGGCACUUGAAAACUUGCUGCUCCACGGCUUCGAGCUUUGUCUCCACGCUUCCGGUACGCCUUGGUCCCUCCACAUCGCGGAUGUGCAGCACCCCCUCACGCAUCUCAACGGUUUGAGGGUGUUGCAGCACCUCCGCGAGAUAGGGGUUGAUAACCCUCUCGAAAAACUUGUCCUUGGGAGCGCUUGGAGACGACAUGAUGCUCUAGAUCUGAAACAGAAACAACUUGAAACGAAAACAGAGGAUAUUUGCGUGACACGAUGGUCAAAACCUUCGGGGGUAUAUAUAAUGAAUUUUUACUGACCAAAAUACAUAAUGUGCAAGAAAACGGAGUCCGGGAGGCACACGAGGUGUCCACGAGACAGGGGGCGCACCCAGUAGGGGGGCGCCCUCCACUCUCGUGGAGGCCUCGUGUCCCUUUCGGACUACUUCUUUCUUCCGAAAAUUCUUAAAUAUUGGAGUUGUUUUGGAGUCGUUUUACUUACCGUACCACAUACCUAUUACUUUUCGGAGUCUGGAACGUUCUGGAAAGUCCCUUAUGUAUUCCUCCGGGGUUACGGUUUCAAUAAUAUUAGUUUCAAUAUUGAUAGGAUUACCUGAAAUAUAAUGUUUAAUUCUUUGAUCGUUUACCACCCUCGAACUUGUGCCUUCGAAGUUGUUGAUUUUUAUGGCACCAGAACGGUAGACCUCCUCGAUAACGUAAGGACCUACCCAUUUUGAGAGAAAUUUUCCUGCAAAAAAUCUUAAACGAGAGUUGAAUAAUAAAACAUAAUCUCCUACGUUAAACUCACACUUUUGUAUCCUUUUGUCAUGCCAGCGUUUGAAUUUUUAUUUAAAUAGCUUGGCAUUCUCAUAGGCUUGGGUUCUCCAUUCAUCAAGUGAGCUAACAUCAAACAAUCUCUUCUCACCGGCAAGUUUGAAGUCAUAGUUGAGCUCUUUAAUAGCCCAAUAUGCUUUAUGUUCAAGUUCAAGAGGUAAAUGACACGCUUUUCCAUAAACCAUCUUAUAUGGAGACAUACCCAUAGGAUUUUUGUAUGCAGUUCUAUAGGCCCAUAAUGCAUCAUCAAGUUUUUUCGACCAAUUCUUUCUAUAUCUAUUCACAGUCUUUUGCAGAAUUAAUUUGAGCUCUCUAUUGCUCAACUCUACUUGACCACUAGACUGCGGAUGAUAAGAAGAUGCGAUUCUAUGAUUGACAUCAUACUUAGCAAGCAUCUUACGGAAAGCACCAUGAAUAAAAUGUGAGCCACCAUCAGUCAUAAGAUAUCUAGGGACUCCAAACCUCGGAAAAAUAACUUCUUUAAGCAUUUUAAUAGAAGUGUUAUGAUCAACACUACUAGUUGGAAUAGCUUCUACCCACUUAGUAACGUAAUCAACAGCAACUAAAAUAUGUGUAUAACCAUUAGAGGCAGGAAAAGGUCCCAUAUAAUCAAAGCCCCAAACAUCAAACGGUUCAAUAACAAGAGAAUAAUUCAUAGGCAUUUCUUGACAUCUACUAAUGUUACCUAUUCUUUGACAUUCAUCACAAGAUAAUACAAACUUACGAGCAUCUUUGAAGAGAGUAGGCCAAUAAAAACCAGAUUGUAGUACCUUGUGUGCAGUUCUAUCUCCAGCAUGGUGUCCUCCAUAGGAUUCAGAGUGACACUUGCGUAGGAUCUAUUCCUGUUCAUGCUCAGGCACACAACGUCUAAUAACACCAUCUACUCCUUCUUUAUAAAGGUGCGGGUCAUCCCAGAAGUAAUUUCUUAAAUCAUAAAAGAACUUUUUCUUUUGCUGGUAUGUGAAACUAGGCAGUAUAAAUUUAGCAACAAUGUAAUUAGCAUAAUCAGCAUACCAAGGAGCAGUAUGAGAAGCAUUAACGACCGCUAAUUGUUCAUCAGGAAAGCUAUCAUCAAUAGGCAGUGGGUCAUCAAGAAUAUUCUCUAACCUAGACAAGUUGUCUGCAACAGGGUUCUCAGCUCCCUUUCUAUCAAUAAUAUGCAAGUCAAAUUCUUGGAGCAAGAGAACCCGUCUAAUGAGUCUAGGCUUAGCAUCUUUCUUUUCCAUAAGAUAUUUAAUAGCAGCAUGAUCAGUGUGAAUAGUAACUUUGGAAUCAACAAUAUAAGGUUUAAAUUUAUCACAUGCAAACACUACUGCUAAGAAUUCUUUUUCAGUAGUAGCAUAAUUUCUCUGGGCAGUAUCAAGAGUCUUACUAGCAUACUGGAUAACAUUCAAUUUCUUAUCGACUCUUUGCCCUAGAACAACACCUACAGCAUAGUCGCUAGCAUCACACAUAGUUUCAAAAGGUAAAUUCCAAUCAGGUGGCUGAACAAUAGGUGCAGUGAUCAAAGCUUUCUUAAGUAUUUCAAAUGCUUCUACACAAUCAUCACCAAAGACAAAAGGAAUAUCUUUUUGCAAUAAAUUAGUCAGAGGCCUAGAGAUUUUAUAAAAGUCCUUAAUGAACCUCCUAUAAAAACCGCUAUGGCCAAGGAAACUUCUUAUACCUUUUAUGUCCUUGGGACAGGCAUCUUUUCAAUAGCAUCAACCUUGGCUUUGUCAACUUCAAUACCUCUCUCGGAAAUCUUAUGCCCCAAGACAAUGCCUUCAUUAACCAUAAAGUGACACUUUUCCCAAUUCAGGACGAGACUAGUGUCUUCGCAUCUCUGCAAAACUCGAUCAAGGUUGCUCAAACAAUCAUCAAAAGAGGAUCCAUAAACGAAAAAGUCAUCCAUGAAUACCUCACAAAUCUUUUCACAAAAAUCAGAGAAUAUAGCCAUCAUGCAUCUUUGAAAGGUAGCAGGUGCAUUACAUAACCCAAAAGGCAUACGUCUAUAAGCAAAAGUACCAAAAGGGCAAGUAAAAGUAGUCUUAGAUUGAUCCUUCGCUGACACAGGUGUUUGAGAGAAACCAGAAUAACCAUCUAGAAAGCAAUAGUUUGUAUGUUUGCAUAAUCUUUCUAGCAUUUGAUCAAUAAAAGGUAAGGGGUAAUGAUCUUUCUUAGUAGCUUUAUUUAAUUUGUGGAAAUCAAUUACCAUCCUAUAACCUGUGAUAAUUCUUUGCGGAAUCAAUUCAUCUUUAUCAUUAGGGACAAUAGUAAUACCUCCCUUCUUAGGGACACAAUGGACAGGACUUACCCAUUGACUGUCAGCAACGAGAUAAAUGAUACCUGCCUCCAGAAGCUUGAGUAUUUCUUUUCUUACCACUUCUUUCAUCUUGGGAUUUAGUCGUCUUUGAGGAUCUCUAACUGGCUUGGCAUCUUUGUCCACUGUAAUUUUGUGUUGACAUAAUGUGGGACAAAUGCCCUUGAGAUCAUCCAGAGUAUAUCCAAUAGCUGCUCGGUGCUUCUUCAGAGUUUUCAAUAAUCUUUCUUCUUCUUUCUCUGAAACGUUAGCACUAAUAAUAAUAGGAUAUAUUUCCUUUUCAUCAAGAUAAGCAUACUUAAGAUUAUCAGGUAAUGGUUUGAGUUCAAACACGGGAUCACCCUUGGGUGGAGGGGGGUCCCCAAGAAUUUCAACGAGAAGGUUAUGUUUCAGCAUAGGUUCCUGUUUAAGGAACACUUCAUCUAUUUCCCUUCUCUCCUUCAUAAACAUCUCGUUUUCAUGGUCUAGCAAGUAUUGUUCUAAUGGAUCAGUAGGAGGCACAACAAUGGAAGCAAGACCAAUAAUUUCAUCCUUACUAGGUGGUUCCCUAUCACGAGGUUGUCUACGAAACUUAGCAAAAUUAAACUCAUGAGACAUACCAUCUAUGCCAACGGUGAGAGUAUCUUUUUCACAAUCAAUCUUAGCACUAGCUGUAUUCAAGAAGGGUCUACCAAAAAUAAUGGGACAAAAAUCAUCUUGUGGGGAACCAAGAACAAGAAAAUCAGCAGGGUAUUUAACCUUCCCACACAAAACUUCAACAUCUCUAACAAUCCCAAAGGGUUUAAUGGUAUCCCUAUUAGCAAGCUUAAUAGUAACAUCAAUGUCUUCUAAUUCAAUGGUUGCAAUGUCAUGCAUAAUUUCUUGAUAUAAGGUAUAAGGUAUUGCACUAGCACUAGCACCCAUAUCACAUAAGCCAUGAUAACCAUGAUCUCCUAUUUCAACAGAAAUAACAGGCAUGCCUAUGACAGGUCUAUGUAUCUUAGUGUCUGGUCUAGCAAUAUUAGCAGUCUCACCACAGAAAUAAAUAACAUGCCCAUCUAAAUCAUCAUCCAAGAGAUCUUUAACCAUAGCAAUACUAGGUUCAACAUUAAUUUGUUCAGGAGGUGUAUAAGUCCUAGUAUUACUCUUACGAACAACAGUCGAAGCUUUAGCAUGAUCUUUUACCCUAACAGGAAAUGGAGGUUUCUCAACAUAAGUAGUAGGAACAAUAGGAUCACUAUAGGUGAUAGUCUUUUCUUCAACUGUAAUAGGUGCAACUACUUUCACUUCAAUAGAAGGAUUAUAUUUAAACCACUUCUCUUUAGGGAGAUCAACAUGAGUAGCAAAAGAUUCAUAGAAAGAAGCUACUAUCUCAGAGUCAAGUCCAUACUUAGUUCUAAAUCCACGAAAAGCAUCGGUAUCCAUAAAAGAUUUAACACAAUCGAACUUAGGUGUCAUACCUGACUCCUUACCAUUGUUGGAACCCCAAUCUUCCGAGUUGCGUUUAAUUCUUUCCAAUAAGUCCCAUUUGAAAUCAAUAGUCUCCAGCAUAUAAGAACCAGCACAGAAAGUAUCGAGCAGGUUGCGAUUAUCAAGAGAAAGCCGAGCAUAAAAGUUCUGAAUAAUCAUUUCCCGAGAGAGCUCAUGAUUGGGGAAUGAAUAUAACAUUGACUUAAGCCUCACCCAAGCUUGAGCGAUGCUUUCUCCUUCGCGAGGCCAGAAAUUAUAUAUGUAAUUAUGAUCACGAUGAACAAGAUGCAUAGGAUAGAACUUAUGGUGAAAUUCCAACUUCAAUCGCUUAUAAUUCCAAGAUCUCGUAUCAUCACAUAGCCUAUACCAUGUCAAUGCAUCUCCCUUCAAAGAUAAAGAGAAGACCUUCCUUUUGACAGCAUCAUCGGGAAUAUCUGCAAGCUUAAAUAAUCCACAAACUUCAUCCACAAACAUAAGGUGUAAAUCAGGAUGCAAUGUUCCAUCUCCUGUAAAUGUAUUAGCUAGCAGUUUCUCUAUCAUACCCAAAGGAAUCUCACAAUAAAUAUUUUCAUAAAGUUCAGUAGGUUGAGGAGCAACUCUUUGCUCUUCUGGUUGGGGUGAAGAUACCCCGAACAAGCCCCUCAAAGGAUUAGUUUCCAUAGUGACAAGUAACAGAAAAUUUCAGCACACUAUAUAAAUGUUUCCUUACCAAGUUCCACUCACCAAAAGCGCUACACCCCCGGCAACGGCGCCAGAAAAGAGUCUUGAUGACCCACAAGUGUAGGGGAUCUAUCGCAGUCCUUUCGAUAAGUAAGAGUGUCGAACCCAACAAGGAGCAGAAGGAAAUGAUAAGCGGUUUUCAGUAAGGUUUUCUCUGCAAGCACUGAAAUUGUAGGUAAUAGAUAGUUUUGUGAUAAGAUAAAUAGUAACGAGUAACAAGUAAAUAAAGUAAAUAAAGUGCAGCAAGGUGGCCCAAUCCUUUAUGCAGCAAAGGAUAAGCCUGUACAAUUUCUAAUAAUGAGAAAGGAGCUCCCGAGGACACAUGGGAAUUAUCGUCAAGCUAGUUUUCAUCACGUUCAUAUGAUUCGCGUUUGGUACUUUGAUAAUUUGAUAUGUGGGUGGACUGGUGCUUGGGUACUACCCUUACUUGUACAAGCAUCCCACUUAUGAUUAACACAUAUUGCAAGCGUCCGCAGCUAUAAAAGAAGUAUUAAGGUAAACCUAACCACAACAUUAAACAUAUGGAUCCAUAUCAGCCCCUAACGAAGCAACACAUAAACUAGGGUUUAAGCUUCUGUCACUCUAGCAACCCAUCAUCUACUUAUUACUUCCCCAUGCCUUCCUCUAGGCCCAAAUAAUGGUGAAGUAUCAUGUAGUGGACGUUCACAUAACACCACUAGAGGAAAAGACAACAUACAUCUCAUCAAAAUAUCGAACGAAUACCAAAUUCACAUGACUACUAAUAGCAAGACUUCACCCAUGUCCUCAGGAACAAACAUAACUACUCACAAAGCAUAUUCAUGUUCAUAAUCAGAGGAGUAAUAAUAUGCAUAAAGGAUCUGAACAUAUGAUCUUCCACCAAGUAAACCAAUUAGCAUCAACUACAAGGAGUAAUCAACACUACUAGCAACCCACAGGUACCAAUUUGUGGUUUUGAUACAAGAUUGGAUACAAGAGAUGAACUAGGGUUUUGAGAGGAGAUGGUGCUGGUGAAGAUGUUGAUGGAGAUUGACCCCCUCCCGAUGAGAGGAUCGUUGGUGAUGAUUUCCCCCUCUCGGAGGGAAGUGUCCCCGGCAGAAUAGCUCCGCCGGAGCCCUAGAUUGAUUCCGCCAAGGUUCCACCUCGUGGCGGCUGAGUUUCGUCCCGUAAGCUUGCCCACGAUUUUUUUCAGGGUAAAAGCUCUAAUAUAGCAGAAGAUGGACACCGGAGGCCCACCAUGGGGCCCAGGAGAUAGGGGGCGCGCCCAGUAGGGGGGGGGCCUCCACUCUCCUGGACAGGGUGUGGGCCCCUUGGUGUAUUUCUUUCGCUCAAUAAUUUUUAUAAAUGCCAAAAACAUGUUUCGUGGAGUUUCAAGAUUUUUGGAGUAGUGCAGAAUAGAUUUUCAAUGUUUGCUCCUUUUCCAGCCAGAAUUCCAGCUGCCAGUAUUCCCCCUCUUCAUGGUAAACCUUGUAAAAUAAGAGAGAAUAGCCAUAAGUAUUGAGAUAUAAUGUGUAAUAACAGCUGAUAAUGCAAUAAAUAUUGAUAUAAAAGCAUGAUGCAAAAUGAACGUAUCAAGUACCUUCGCAUUGGUGAAGAUACUACAAUUGAGUCCGUGCAUAGAUUUGCAAAAAUGAUCAUCCGUGUCUUUGGUCAUGAGUAUCUUCAGGCACCCAACAAGGAUGACACAAAGAAAUUGAUGGCAUCUAAUGAGAGGAGAGGUUGGCCUGGCAUGCUAGGUAACAUUGAUUGUAUGCAUUGGACAUGGAAAAAUUGCCCGAAGGCAUGGCAAAGAAUGUAUUGUGGCAAGUCUCGUGAUGCAACAAUUGUGCUAGAGGCCAUAGCAUCCGAGGAUUAUGGAUUUGGCAUUGCUUCUUUGGUAUGCGGAACACUCUCAAUGAUAUCAAUGUGUUGCAACGGUCUCAUUUGUUUGCUAGGCUUGGUAGUGGUGAUGCUCCUGUUUGCAACUACACUAUCAAUGGGCAUGAAUACACAAAAGGGUGCUAUCUUGCAUAUGGUAUAUACCCUCCUUGGUGCACAUUUGUCAAGAGCAUCAAAGAAGCCAAAACUAAAAAACAGUGUGAAUUUGCAAGGGUGCAAGAGGCAGCCCGAAAAGACAUUGAAAGAGCAUUCGGUGUUUUGCAAUCUAGGUUUGCCAUUGUCCGUGGUCCUGCUCGUUUUUGGGAUAAGAAAACCUUAAAAAAUAUCAUGACAUGUUGUGUUAUCCUUCACAAUAUGAUUCUUGAAGAUGAGAGAGGAAUGAACUUGAAAUUCUUCUACGACAAUGUGGGUAGCCGUGUCAAACCAGCUAGAGACCCUAACCGCAUUAGAGCUUUUCGUCAGACAUGCAAGGAGAUUGAAAAUGCAGACACACAUUUUCAACUUCAGGAGGAUCUCAUUGAGCACCAUUGGCAAAGGGCUGGACAGUGACUCCUUUUUGUAUUCAUUUGUAUUUGUACUCAUCACAAAUUUUGUAUUGCAUUAUUUAAGAUCUAAAUAAUUAUUUGUAAUGUGGAUGAUUGUUGUAUUGUGUUGAAUUUGAAUAAUUAUUUAGUUUGCUUCUGUUUGUUGUAUUAUGCUGGAUUUGAUAUAUUUUUGCGGGCCGAUGAGAUGUGAAAAGCAGUGGUGCAAGAGCAGACACCGUAAAGCCGACCUGUAUAAAAGCAUAUUCGGUGAAUAUACUUUUAUAAAGGUUCGUUUGGGGGUCCUACAUCUGCGGCCGUCCUUGCCGGCCCGUAAAAGCCGUUUUCCGCGAACUGCAAACGCGUUUUGCGGGCCAGCGAGAUGUGGGGUCUGCUAGAGUUGUUCUAAUAACGACACAUAUAGGGUUUCAGUGAACACCUCGCGGCAUUUAGAGAAACGCACCUACCUCUCCGGUAGGCAACUCACGACGGAGCAGGAUCUGCACCUGGCUCAGGCAACUCGUGACGGAGUAGGACGAAGACACUAACAAAACUCAGACGAAAAAGAAAGGGAAACGCACGCAUCAGCACGGGAUGGACAAUAGGGAUGCAAAUUUGAAAAUUUUAGGUACCCUCCGACCUACUUAGUUCAACCAAUUGUGCUCAAUAACUCUUAAAGGUGAUGUGAAUUAUGAAAAAAAAUUGUUCAGUUAGUUGAACUAAAUAGGACCAGAGGGUACCUGAAUAUUCAAAUUUGCAUCCCUAAUGGUAAUGGACAUAGCACUACCAUAAGGGCGAUCGGACGGGCUGACGAUCUAACAUGAAGGCAAGCGCCAAGGAAAACAAGCCCGUGCGGACGGUGGUUCCCUGUUUACGUGUUGCUGCGCUGAUGUUUAGUACCACAUCGCUAUUCCAGGUCGAUACACCGUGGAAUAAAACGUGAAGCCCGGGUGCUGGUAUACACCGUGCGGCAAGCACGGUUACUGCACGAAACCAAUAUACGAUUACCAACGGCCAGCGCCAACAAUGCGACAGGUAUGAAUUCGGCUGUCUGCCUUCAGCAGCAGUACAAUACACGCCCCAUCAACACAUCACAACAAAAUCUUGAGAGCUAACGAAUAAAUAGUAUUCUGUCAUUGCAGGGGCGCCUUUUGUUUUUUUCAAAACCAAAUAAGAUCUUAUUUGGCCGAGCCUUCUUUUUUACGUAGGUGAUCAAACCACAGAAUCGUUAGUUUGUUAUAUGCCGUGCACUUAUCAUGCCCCUCUGUAUCGUAAUAUAUGUCGCUGAGUACAACCUUGUAGGUAUAUUUGAAGUUGGAGCAUACGUUUAUUAAUCUAUAUAUAAAGUUUAUAUACAAAAUUCUGAAGCUCCCUGCAAGUACAAAAUCCUGAAAGUGCAUGGAAUGCGGGUGAAAAUCAAGUAUCUUUGGAAAAUGGGACCGGCCUGGCGCCUCAGGCAGAUAAGAAUAAGUGCCCCGCAAAAAGAAGAUAAGAAUAAGUGGGCUUUAGUAUGAACAAGAACUUCGUGAGGUCCAGAGAGCACGGGUGUCAGCAUUUUAUUAAUGAAAUACAAUACUGAAUGGCAAGUGCUCUUUCUUGUUUAGAUCCUAUUUUGAUCGAAACUUUCCGCAUUGAUCCUUUUUUGUUAUCUCUUGUUUCCCCGGACGUAACUAGCUCUGUUUUUGCGGUCUCAGAAGGAGAAGCCCCGAACGCUUGCAAUCGCUUUUUUCUCUUAAUUUCUUUCCUUCUAAGCAAGCCUCUAAAGAAUCGGACUCUAAGGCCUUACAAUGGGAAGUGUUUAGAGAGGUGAUUAAAAAAAUAAACCGAGUUUUUCUGAAGCAUCGGUGCCUAUUUCUACAGGAGAGACGCUUAACUAAGCGUCUCUCCUGUAGAAAUAGGCACCGAUGCUUAAGAAAAGCCUGGUUUAUUUCUUUAAGCACCUGUCCUAAGCACCUCCCAUUGUACAAGGCCUAAGAGUCUGUUCGGCAGCCCUCCGCUCCUGGAGCAGAGCGGCCCCAGCCUAUUUUCUCGGAGUCGCCGAAGCGUCGCUCCAUGCGUUCCAGCCAAUUUUCUCGGAGUCGCAGAGCUGGAUGAUUGCCGAACAGGGCCCAAGUAUCCCACUGAUUAGAUUACUUUGCUUUGGGUGCAAGCGGCAUCCAGCUUCCUCCCUUUAACACUACAUCUGCACCACGGUAUCAUCGGCCAUGCCCACCGCCUGCAUCCCUACUUCCAGCUGACUCUCUAUUAUAAGUACAUCGGGCAUGAGCAGCCAUCAGCACGUAUUUCUACAUUGCAGCAUAUCUCUGGUCUUCAGAGUAGCUGAGGCAAUUAAGUGAAAAUACAAAAGGCCAUCCCAGCACACAUUUCAAGUCAAACAUUCAUGGUCAUUCACAUCAAGUGCAUACUGCAUAGGCAGUCUAGAGUUUUGAACCAUACAACAGAACUAGUCAUUACAGAGCAUAUCAGGGACGCAUUCUUGUAUAUCAGGAUCAAACGAUAACACGGACACAAUGCCGUUGCCCCAGCAACCUGCUUCUGGUAUUAGUGUAACAGCAUAGAAUGUGAGGCCCGGAGGACGCGCCAAAUCCAUGUAUGCGAUUCAUCUCUUCUUAAAACCAUACUUCUUGCGCUCGUAGAAGAGAUCGGUCUUGGCGCUUCCUAGGUUGACAAUCUUGGGGCACCCAUCUCGGUCCUUCUCCUGCUGCGUGCACUCUUUGCAGUAGUAGGCGUCUGAGAUGCCAACUCCGCC
rnacentral:lncRNA from 1 species